rnacentral:rRNA from 2 species
GACUGAGACACGCCCCAGACUCCUACCGGAGGCAGCAGUAGGGAAUCUUCCGCAUUGGACGAAAGUCUGACGGAGCAACGCCGCGUGAGUGAUGAAGGUUUUCGGAUCGUAAAGCUCUGUUGUUAGGGAAGAACAAGUGCGAGAGUAACUGCUCGCACCUUGACGGUACCUAACCAGAAAGCCACGGCUAACUACGUGCCAGCAGCCGCGGUAAUACGUAGGUGGCAAGCGUUGUCCGGGAAUUAUUGGGCGUAAAGGGCUCGCAGGCGGUUUCUUAAGUCUGAUGUGAAAGCCCCCGGCUCAACCGGGGAGGGUCAUUGGAAACUGGGAAACUUGAGUGCAGAAGAGGAGAGUGGAAUUCCACGUGUAGCGGUGAAAUGCGUAGAGAUGUGGAGGAACACCAGUGGCGAAGGCGACUCUCUGGUCUGUAACUGACGCUGAGGAGCGAAAGCGUGGGGAGCGAACAGGAUUAGAUACCCUGGUAGUCCACGCCGUAAACGAUGAGUGCUAAGUGUUAGGGGGUUUCCGCCCCUUAGUGCUGCAGCUAACGCAUUAAGCACUCCGCCUGGGGAGUACGGUCGCAAGACUGAAACUCAAAGGAAUUGACGGGGGCCCGCACAAGCGGUGGAGCAUGUGGUUUAAUUCGAAGCAACGCGAAGAACCUUACCAGGUCUUGACAUCCUCUGACAACCCUAGAGAUAGGGCUUUCCCUUCGGGGACAGAGUGACAGGUGGUGCAUGGUUGUCGUCAGCUCGUGUCGUGAGAUGUUGGGUUAAGUCCCGCAACGAGCGCAACCCUUGAUCU